UACGUAGGAUGCGAGCGUUGUCCGGAAUUACUGGGCGUAAAGGGCGUGUAGGCGGCCUGUCAAGUCUCAUGUGAAAUCUCCCGGCUCAACUGGGAGGGGUCAUGGGAUACUGGCGGGCUUGAGGGCAGCAGAGGAGAGCGGAAUUCCCGGAGUAGCGGUGAAAUGCGUAGAUACCGGGAGGAACACCAGAGGCGAAAGCGGCUCUCUGGGCUGCAACUGACGCUGAGGCGCGAAAGCAUGGGGAGCAAACCGG
rnacentral:misc_RNA from 1 species